AUUCCAUACUGGGUUUGAGGAUGGUAAUGUGAAUUGAUUUUGAUGCCAAUUUCUUUUGUCUUAUGUCUUAUCCAGUUCAAAUAAAUAAUUGUAGUUCAACGUAGUUUAGCAAUUGGGGUGGUUGUUUUGUUUGCUUCAUAAAACCACACAAAUGGCUGUGGUAACUGACACCUAAAUGCAACAUUGCAAAAGUUCCCAAGAAGUUCUAAAACGAUGAAUCUUAUAAAAUGAAACUCAAACUAAGGUGAGUGCAAGUCACUAGAUAGGAACAGAAUUGGAUAUGUUUGAAGCAAGGUCUGCAAUCUCAGCACGAGUACCAUAUCAGUACCUUAUCGGGACAGUAUAGUAUGCAUCCUGUAUUGAAAUAGCUCUAGCAAUUUUUCUCAAUGUCUCGAUACACCUCAAAACAAGUCGUACACUUGGGUAUAGAUGGUACGCAGCUUAAUACACCUUGAUAUAGAUCGGUACACCUUGAUAUGAGGGUACAAGGCUUAUACUGACUUGAAGUUAGAGUUCGGUAUCAGUUUCAUCCUGGUAUGGUACCCAAUGCCUUGUACUAAGCGGUAUGGGGCAGUACGGCAAACCAUCAUUUGAAGUUUUAGUUAAAAAUGAGAAGAGAUAGUAGAGAGAAAGUAAGAGAGAGUAGAGAGAAUAAUAUGAGAAAGAGUGAUAGGCCUCGAAUCUUAAUUUUCUUCUAACCUAUACCUCUAUUUAUAUUGAUGUUAUUACAUAAAUGCUUACAUUGCAGUCGCUGAUUUUAUUCCCCAAUUACAGCAUUGUAGAUUUUCUUCCUAAACAUAGCUUAUCAAAUAUAUUGGUCAACCACUUCCUAAUUAUAAUAUUACAGAUUUUUUUCCUAAACAUAGCUUACCAAAAAUAUAUUGGUCAAGCAUUCUCUAAUUACAACAUUGCAGAUUUUCUUCCUAAACAUAGCUUAGCAAAAAUAUAUUAGUCAAUACUCCACCUCAAGAUGGUGCAUAGAUAUCUCUCAUGCCCAUCUUGCAAAUAAUCGAAUGAAACACCUUACUACUAAGACCUUUAGUCAAAAUAUCAGCUAGCUGAUUUUCUGAUUUUACAUAAGGUGUACAAAGUAGCCAUUUAUUCAACUUUUCUUUAAUGAAGUGUCUAUCUAUCUCAAUAUGCUUUGCUCUAUCAUGUUGAACUGGAUUAUGAGCAAUAUUGAUAGCAGUUUUGUUAUCACAGUAUAGAAGGAGAGGUCCGCCAUUCUUCAUUCCCAGGACUUGCAUCAAUAUUUUAAGCCAAAAAAGUUCACAAACUCCAUGUGCCAUUGCUCUGUACUUUGCUCCACUGAUUAUUUUUUACUUCUCCAAGUGACUAAGUUCCCUCCAACAAGUGUACAAUAUGCUGAUAUAGACCUCCUAUCAUCAAGUGAUCUAGCCUAAUCAGCAUUUGUAAAAGCUUCUAUUUUCAAGUGACCAUGGUUCAAAAAAAGUAAUCCUUUUUUGGAUGCUAAUUUUAAGUAUCUCAAGAUGCGAAAAAUGAUAUCUAGAUGAGUGGAGUGGGGAGCAUGCAUAAACUGGCUUACCACACUAAUAGGAUAGGAUAAAUCUGGAUGAGUAUAAGAGAGAUAAAUCAAUCUCCUAACUAAUCUUUGAUACCUUCCUUUGUUUACUAUUUCUCCAUCACCACUCUUGAGAUGGUGUUUUGGAUCCAUAGGAGUAUUUGUUGGCUUACAACCCAACAUACCCGUCUCUUUAAGCAAGUCCAAGAUAUAUUUCUUUUGAGAAAUGAAGAUACUGUUGUCUGAUCGAAUAACUUCAAUACCAAGAAAAUAUCGUAGCUUACCCAAAUCUUUUAUUUCCAACUCCUUAGCUAGACUAGCCUUCAAUCUGAUAACUUUUCUAGAGUUAUUUCCUAUCACCACUAUAUUAUCAACAUAUACAAUGAGAACAGUGAUAUUCCCAUUAUUAUGUUUGAUGAACAUUGUUUGAUCUGCAUUACUCUGAUGAUACCCAAAAUUAAUUAUUACUUUGCUGAAUCUGUCAAAUUAAGCUCGCGGGGAUUGUUUGAGACCGUACAAUGAUUUCUUCAACUUACAUACCUUGCCUUCUAUUUUCUGACAAGAAAAACAUGAACGAAUCUCUAUAUAUACUUCUUCCUCUAAGUCCCAUGAAGGCAUUUUUUAUAUCCAAUUGAUGCAAUUUCCAUGCUAGGUUUGCUGCACAAGAAAGAACCCGAAUAGAAUUCAUUUUUGCAACAGGAGUGAAUGUCUCUUGAUAAUCUAUUCCAUAUGUCUGAGUAAAUCCUUUUGUGAUGAGUCUUCCCUUGAAUCUCUCAAUGGUCCUGUUGUUGCUAAAAUUCAGAUCUUGAUUGGAGUAGUUGGAGCGGUGGUUGCCACUAAAAUUUGGAUCUUGAUUGGAGUAGUUGGAGCGGUGAUGUGCUCCACCUGGGAAGUAACCUGCCAAGCAAGUCCCUGUUAGAGUUGGCUCCGAUGGGGACUCUGAUGCUCAAGUUAGAUCUAAAAAAAAAUAGAAGAGAAAGAGUGUUUGAGAGAGAUUGUGCGCACAUACCUUGGGGUCCUCUGGAGGCCAUUUUGUAGGCGAGGGCCAAAAGGCUAUUUUGGGUAGGUUGCUUGGCCGGUUUGGGCUCGAUAUGGUGAAACUUUCGGUCGGGAUCUUGGGAAUUGGGCAGUUACACCUGCCUUAUCUGUUUCGGAGCCAGCUGUGAUGCCGCAGAUGCUUUUGAAUUUGAAAUGAGGGUGUAGGUAAGAUUGGACUAGCUUAGGUUGAGGCAGCUUUGGAGCAGUCCGAUGCAUGUAGGCACCGAAUGAAGGUAGCUGGGAUCAAAUUGUAUUCGCGGGGAUAAGGAUCGGUGGAGUUUGAAAGUAUAUCUACCGCUGAAGUCUGAGAUCGAUCUGUUCAAAUGUUAGCCUGCUGUAGGGACUGGGAUCGGUUGGCGGAGUCUUGGUUACGGGGAGGCAUAUAAGGAUCGCUGGGACCCAAAGCCAGGAUCGGGGAGGUCCGAAGUUAUGUACUGAAUGACCUACUUCACAGUCCUCCCAUGGUUCAGGGAGGCAUAUCUACUUCCAAGAUUAGACACAUUCAUCUCCAAUAGUGCUGUGGCAUCGGCCCUAUAUGCUUCAUCAUGUGCCUUUCCACUGAUUCAUGUCUUCGGUCUGGGUGACAAAUUAUCCCCCAACAGAUGUCCCCUACUCCCAAGUUCAGUGCGGAUGAAGAGAGUACAUGAGUUUUGAUUUGCUGGAGACAUCAUCGUUGCCACUGAAACGAUGCUUGCGGCCCUUGGGCAGAACAAAAGUUCACAUCGGUGGGUAAUCAUGACCAUAGGGAGUGGAGCAGUUGGCUGAAUUCAAAAGGUGGCGUGUCUUAUUUUCAGUGCAAAUCAUUAAUGAGCCGACUAUCAUUUACUGCAGACGAAUGGAGAUAUGCCAAGUAUUGAUCAUCAAAGUCAAGCAAGAUUCGGCAUCUAAGCCGUUCUACCCUUCUGUACCUAUAAAAUGGGGCCGUAUUCCUUACCUUCUCUUUCUCAUGCUUCCAGACUUUUCAUAAGCUUUUCGUUUCCUUCUCCAGUCAGCCUCCUUGCUUCGAGAUUCUUUCCGAUCAUCUCCCUCAGUUUUCUCGAAUUGCCAGUGGUUCCUUUUUGGUCUCUCCUCCACCUCCUGUGCAGUUGUAGGUUGGUUUUUUCUCCCUUCCCUAGUUUCUUUUUCAGUUUUUUAGUCCGAUUGCCUUUUCUUCCUCUCUUCGUGUCCAUUUUCUUUCCUGUUCUCUUAUUGUGUCUUCCAAUGGCUGGUUUCGGGAGUCUUAGCGAAGGCUUGUCUUCCGAACAUCUUCCUCUUUGAGGGAAGCUUUUGCUGGUUCAGACGAGGGGUGCGGUGUUGUACCAUCCUUUGAUUUCGACACAAUCGGAUCCAAAUUGGGCCCGAAGGACUUGAUUCUCGUCUGUGCCUGAUAUGGAAUUCCUCCAUUUGAAUUAGAACCCCUGGUCCUAGUGGUAGGAUUGGUAACCCGCCUUCCUAUAGGAUUGGCCUGUAUGAGGAAGCCUUUAAGGCUGGACUUAGAUUACCCAUUCAUCCUUUUGUCGUCAAACUUUUUCACUUCUUUGACAUCUUUCUUUAUUCUAUUAUUCCGAACUUUUUUUGCUUCAUCAUCGGCUUUAUUAUUCUUUAUUCCAAGACCAAAGUCCCACCGUCCAUCUCUCUUUUUUGAUCCUUUUAUAUUAUAAAGAGGUAUAUGGGUGACUGAUGGUACGUCUCUCCUCCAAGGGGGUUUCUACCUUGAUAAAGGGACUCCUUUGGUUCAUGGUUAGAAGGAUCGGUUCUUUUUUGUUUUGGAGCCCUCUGUUGAAGAAUGGAGACUUCCAUACUAGGGUCAGCUGAGGGAUUCAAUCUUCCAGGUCCUGAAGCUUGAAGAUGAGGAUCUACAGCACUCCAUAAUCUUGAGGGGCUACUAAAUUCCUCCAUUAAAGUUGUUGUCGGAGCAGGUUCUCUUCAAUAUUGAUAUCGGUCUGGCUGACCCUAAAGGUGAGGGUUUUUUCGAUUUUUAGAUAUUUGAUCUUUUUAUAGAUACUAAUUUUUUUUAUGUAGAAAUGAGGCCUGAAGAAUUGGAGAAGCUGAAGAAGGGUGCGAUGAAGAAGAGAAAGGCACCCUCUUCAUCCACCGCUGAUGUCCAGAAGAAAUUGAAGACUUCAGGCGAGAGUCAAAAGAAGGCACCCCCUCCAGCCUUUGCUCAGGCGGCAGUCAUAUCAGUUCCACUGAUACAAUCUUGCCCUCCGAAGCUCGCUGCGCUCUCUGGUCCCCAGGCUGAUCCAACCCAAGUGAAGUCGGACUCUGCUAGACUAUCCAUGGAGCGGAGAUAGGGGUCAGCUUCGCCAUCUAUCGAUGAUGUCAUCGAUGAUUGGAAGACUGCCAACAAUAUCUUUCGAAAGAUGCUUUUUGACACUGGCAUAGAAAAGGUCGAAGGGGAGAGCUCCACAAGGCAAAAGAAGCGGAUGAUAACCUCUCUAGUUUGGGUGAGCUUUUUCUUAUUCUUUUUUCCCUCUUUUUUUUCUUUUUUUUUUACUAACUGUUUGCUCCUUGGAUGCAGAUGGGUCACUAUGUCAUCGCCCUUAUUAAUAGAUUGAGUGACAUUGAAAUGGAAUUGGCCAAAGCACAUGAAAAGCGCAAAGCAGCUGAAACUUCUGAAGCUAAGGCGAAUGUUGCUGCUGUUGAGGUCCAAUCCAAGGUGGAAGCUGCAGAAGCCGAAGUUGCCCACCUGAAGAAGGUGUUAGAGGAGGCCAAGGCUUCAAAGGCGAAGGUGGCCUACUUGGCUUCAAAAAAAGAGAGAUGGCAGGAGGUGCAAGCCAAAGUCGCUGAAGCUGAAAAGGUGGAGGAUCGGGCUGCCGAAGCUAGGUGCAAGGUGAUGGAAGCUUUCCAUGCAUCCGAGGAGUUCUCCCAGGAAAAGAUUGACUUAAGCUAGGAAGCUUUCAUUGUUGGGGGAGUCGUUUGCUGCCAAAGGAUAACGGUGCGCUUUUCGGGGAUGGAUCUGAGCUUCUUGGAUAAAGAAGAAGAGCCGAAGGAGAAGAAGGAAGAACCAAAGGAGGAGCCUCAAGAAGUGAGGGACUUCCAUCUGCUGAAGCUACUAAAGGAUGCUCUGAAGCUGCUUGACCAUCGAAGGUUGUGCCGACAUCUAUUCCUACCGAAGCUGCACCAGUUUUAUUGCCACUAGUGGAGUCAAAGCAGUCAACUGUAGUCAUUUCAAGUUCCUUUGCCGAUGCUCAUGCUGAGGUCGGGAAUAUUUGAAUUUUAUUUUUUUUGUUUUUCUGUCAAUGUAAUGAAAAAUUUUUAUAUCAAUGAAGUAAUUUUUACCUCCGUGUCCUUCGAUUUGUGUUUGUUUUUGGUAUUUUCCUCGGUUUGGUGUGAAUGUUAUGACCACAUAUUUACUCAAUAUCGCACGAAACGUUUGCCAACAGCUCUGCCUUUAAGAACUCGAAUUGAGAACCUUGAAAAAGAUCUCUAUCGGGUUCAACGUGAUGCUGCCAAAGUAAGAAACUUCGAAAGGUGAAGAAGAAUACAGAUGAGGCUUUGGCGGAAGUAGAGUGCCUAAGAAAAUGCCUGAAGCAGACAUAGAAAAUAUUUUGACAAAAAGUGCAGGCUAAUCAAGGAGCGCAAUAAAUUUGCGAAGUCGGUUGGGAAAAAUAACUGAAAGAUAGUUGCGACCAAGGUUUUCCAUACCAUGCCGAACCAGUCGGUACAUCCCGUAUUGUACUGGACCGACGAGGAACCGGCACGAUUCGGUCGGUAAAUUCGAUACACGGGUGGUACGGAAGGAAAAAAGAGAGUGAGAAAGAGAGGAGAGGGAGGGAGGUGGGAGCCGGCGGUGGCCGGCUGCGGCCGUCGGAGGGCUUUCGAGCCCCGUAUCGCCCGAUAGGGCUUUCAAAAGAGCGAGAAAGAGAGAGCUCAGAGGGGGGGGGCGAGGGACCUAUCGGACGGACGGUGCCUCCAUCGCGAGCCUCGAUGGCUGGUGAGCUGGCACCGACGGCCUGAGGGCGGUCGAGCAGGCGGAGCCCCUCUGCGGCUUCACCUUCUUUUUCAAAACAAAUGACCGUCUGUUUCGAUUUUUUAUUUUUUAUUUUUGGUUUUAAACUUAUGAAGUCGGUUGCCGACUUAAGGGAUUUUUAAAAAAAAAUACAAAUCAUAAAGCCGGCCAACUAUUUGCCGGCUUCACUUAAAACUAGGUUUUUUAAAAAAAUUUGCGACGCCCCUGUUUCACGCCCGCGGUGCCGCACGCGUGGACUGCACCCUCCGAUGACCAGGCGGCUAGUCGGAGGCCAUCCGGCAGCCCCACCAGCUCCUUCCUCUUGUUCUUUCUUCCUCUUUCUCUCUCUAUUUCUCUCUCUUUUUUUCUUCCGAUUCGGGUUCGCUUGCCUUCGUUGGUUCGGUACAGUACGAAACCAUAUCGAACCAUACCAUCGGUCGGCUGAUACAGCCGGCGGUACCGGUUCAGCAUAUCUUGGUUGCGACGAUAGUUCUUUGCAAUGAACAAUUGCUCAAGUCCUAAGAUGAGAUAAUGGGGCUGAAGUAUGUUAUAUCAUUGAGCAAAGUCGCUAGCGAAGUCAGAGCAGAUUCGACUGCUCAGAUCCGUCAACUUCAAAGCAACCUUCAUUCGACUGAGGACAAGGUCAAGGAACUCAAUUGAGUGCUGAACACUGAGGGAUCAGCAGUCGAUGUCAUUUGGCGCGAACUUAUCUCGGCCCGGCAGACCUCUGUUGACCUUUCGGAAGCUUUGAGCAAGAACAGGUCUGCGAUGAUCAAGCUCCAUGUCAAGCUCAUGGAGAGCACGACGGCAGCCAACCACGUUGAAGCUACUAUUAAGGAUUUGGAGGACUGACUUGCCACGACCUUGCGCAAUGCAACUCUCGAAGUCGCAGAAGUGUCAGCUAUGGCUUUUGACAUUGGCUUCGAAGAGUGCAGGAGUUUGAUCAGGCGGCUUUUUUUUGAAGUUUACUCCUAUCUCCAUACUCAUAUGGGUCCAGUAGCUCGAGAAACAUCGAGUACCACGGUCGGAGGAGUAUCAAAUGUCGAAGCUCCAUCAACCAAAGGCAGGCCUUCCAAAUGAUUGAUGUACCUUUUUAUUUUUUUUUGUAGACAUCUGUUUUGCAGCUUCUAUAACAAGUUUGUUAAUAAAAUGGACUUGAGAUUUUUGUUCCACCGAUACUUUUAUGUUUCAUUGAUUUUGUGUUCGCAUAGUUCGGAUUUAGUCAUGUACGAUCCUUGCAUUAGGGAAUUUCAUGGAGAUACUCGUAGACUGACUGUAGCCUUCGCUUCGAGAGUUCUUAGAGGUUAGCUCUCUGAAGGUUCUUAUAGGUUAUGCUUCAUAUGUUGCCGAAGUCAGUAGGCUGAGGGUCCUCAUAGGUUAGCCCUCGUUUGUUGUUGAAAUCAGUGGGCUGAGGAUCCUUAUAGGUUAGCCCUCUGAAGGUCCUUUUAGGUUAGCCUUCGCAUCUCGCAUGAAUAAGGUCUUCAUGGGUGCUGGCUCGCUGAAAAGUGAGCGACCUUCGGGGGUCCUUAUAGGUUAGCCCCCAUUUCUGAGUCAUCAAGGUCUUUAGUCCAUGUAGGUUGGAAUGGCGAAGUUGGAACGGUGAACAUUGGGGGUCCUUGUACAUUAGCCCCCACUUUUCGUAUGACUAUGGUCUUCACGGGCAUUGGCUCGCUGAAAAGUGAGCAGCCUUUGGGGGUCUUUAUAGGUUAGCCCCACUUUUUAGCUGUCGAAGUCUUUGUUGUCGAUGCCUUGGAUUGAUGGAUUUCGAGGGUCUUUUUCGGUUAGCCUUCACUUCUCGCAUGAUUAAGAUCUUCAUGGGUGCUAGCUCACUGAAAAGCGAGCGGCCUUGGGGGGUCCUUAUAGGUUAGCCCCUGCUUCUCAGUCACCGAGGCCUUUGGAUUGUUGAUCACAGGAGAAUAAUAUUCCUGAAAAAAGAUCAUUUUAUUAGUUGAUUGUCAAGUUACAUCAUUGAUAGUAUAUUCGGAGGUUCUCCGAGUUCUAUGGCUGAGGUAAGGGUGUUCCAUCCAGUUGCUUGAGGCAAUAAGUUUCUGGUCUGACGACUUCGUCCACUUGGUAGGGGCCUUCUCACUUUGGAGAUAGUUUUUUGUGUUCUGUUGGUUGGGAGACUUCGGCUCGUUGUAGGACCAAAUCAUCGGCUUUGAAUUCUUUUUUCCGAAUGUGGGAGUUAUAGUAUUGUGCCACCCUUUGCUGAUAGGCCAUCGUCCACACUCGUGCUUUCUCGUGAACUCCUUCAAGCAAAUUUAGGUUGGCAUGAAGCUGUUUUGUAUUGCUUCGAUCAUUGUAGUCCUCAACCCAAUAUAAAGGGAGUCCGAUUUCUAUAGGAAUGAUGGCUUCCGUUUCGAAGGAGAGGUUGAAAGGAGUCUCUCCUGUGGGUGUCCUUUGAGUGAUUCGGUAGGUCCAAAGCAUGCUAUGUAGCUCAUCCACCCAUGCUUCUUUAGCUCGACUGAUCCUGGCCUUCAGCCCCUGUAAAAGGGUAUGGUUAGUUACCUUAGCCUCGCUGUUAGCCUACAGAUGUCCCACUAAAGUGAAGUGCUGGGCAAUGAUGUAGCUUUGAUAGAACUCGAUGAAUUUGGAGCCCAAGAACCGACGUCUAUUGUCGGUGAUCAGCACUCGCAAGAGAUCGAAUCGGCAAAUAAUGGACUUCCAGAUGAAGUUUGUUACCUUGGCUUCAGUGAUUUUGGCUAGGGACUCAGCUUCUACCAACUUGAUAAAGUAGUCGAUGGCCACAAGUAAAAAUUUUUACUAGCCUGAUGCUGAUGGAAAGGGGCUUUAGAAUAUCCAUCCCCCAUUGUGCGAAUGGCUAAGGAGCGGCUUUCAGGACUAGUGGAAUGGCUGGCUGGUGCUGAACAUUGGCAUUCCGUUGACAUCGAUUGUAGUGCUUGACAAAGUCAGCUACAUCAUCCUACAUUGUAGGCCAGUAAUACCCCUAGCGAAGUAUCUUGUAGGCCAACGAUCUACUGCCCAGAUGAUUUUCACAUCCCUUUGUGCACAUCUCGAAUGGCAUAUUCAAUUUCGAAAGUAUGGAGACAUCUGAGUGGUAGGGAGAAGGAUCGUUUAUAAAGCUUGCCUUCAUAAAAAAUAUAAUGGGGAGCUUGAUAUUUGAUCUCUCGAGCCUCUUUAGAAUCUGCGGGCAGCACUCCAUCUUAUAGGAAGCGGAUGAAGGGAUCCAUCCAACAAGAUCCGUUGUCGAUCUGCAAGACUGGGAUCUGUUCUUUAGUACCGGGCUUCUUCAGAACUUCAAAGAAUAACUUCUGGGGAAGAUCUCUUGGAGCCGAUGUUGUCAAUUUGGAUAGUAGAUCGGCUCUUGAAUUCUCGGAUCGAGGUACCUACUGAAUAUCGAAAUCAGCAAACACCGAACUUAGGUCCUUCACCUUCUAAAGGUACUUCUCCAUAUUCUCCUCCUGGGCCUCAAAGUCUUCCUUCACUUGUCCUGCCACCAGCUGUGAAUCAAUGCAGAUCCUAAGCUUUCGCACCUCCAGCUCCCUUGCAAUUCCAUAAAGAGUGCUUUAUAUUCAGCUUCAUUAUUAGUGGUUGGAAAAUCAAACCUCAAGGCAUAUUCUGCAACAAAUCCUUCGGGCCCAAGAAGUAACAGAUCUGCUCUCGAUUCUACAGAGUUCGAUGAUCCAUCCACAUGCACUAUCCAAAGAUCGUCUGAUUUCCCAGACGGACCUUGUUCCACUAGUGCAUCUUCUUGUUGAGUUGGCCUUGGCAUUUUUAGGUCUUUUAGGAUAGUGCAUUCCAUAAUGAAGUCCAUCAAAAUCUGAGCCUUAAUAAAGGGCCGAGGUUGGAACGUUAUCUUGAACUCUACAAGUUCAAUCGCCUAUUUCGCCAAUCGCCUAGAAGUAUUGGGCUGAUGCAAAACUGCCUUGAGCGGUUGAUCAGUUAGCAUUACAAUGGGAUGUGCUUGGAAGUAGGGUCGAAGCCUUCGAUCUGCAACAAUAAGGGCAAAGAUCAGCUUCUCCAGUCUGGUGUACUUGGUCUCUGCAUCAUGCAAGACUCGGGUGAUAUAGUAGAUCAGCCUUUGGACUUCAUCCUGAUCAUCGACCAACACCACGCAUAUGGCAGUUGGUGAGACCACUAAGUAUAAGUAAAGUUCUUCAGCAGGCUUCGGCUUGCUGAGGGUGGUGCAGAACUGAGAUAAUUUUUCAACUCUACGAAUGCGUGCUGGCAGUCUUCGGUUUAUUGGAAGUUCUUCGGUUGCCUCAGGGUUUGAAAGAAUGGGAGAUAGCGUUCGGCCGAUCUAGAGACAAACUGGUUUAAUGCUGCUACCUUGCCUGUGAGAUGUUGAACCUCCUUGAUGUUCUUAGGCGGGCACAUCUCUUGUAUGGCUUGAAUCUUCUCAGGAUUGGCUUUUAAUACCACGGCUGGACACCAUGAAGCCUAAGAAUUUGCCCAAAGAAACUCCAAAGGCAUACUUAGUUGGAUUCAGCUUCAUCGAUGCUUCCUCAGAGUGCCAAAGGUCUCUUCGAGGUCCUCAAUGUGGGUUCGUGAGGUCCUGCUUUUGACAAGCAUGUCGUCUAUGUAGACCUCCAUGUGUCGAUUGAUCUGAUCCUUGAAGAUCUUGUUCGUCAGGCACUGAUAAGUUGCACCUAUAUUUUUCAGGCCAAAGAGCAUAAUCCUGUAACAGAAGAGAUCCCGAUCAAUAACAAAAGCUAUUUUCUCCUCAUCUUCAGGUGUCAUUCGAAUUUGAUUGUAUCCAGAAAAAGCAUCUAUGAGAGUAAGGAGUUCAUGUCUUGACAUGGCGUCCACCAGUUGGUCGAUUGAAGAUAGGGGGUAGCUAUCCUUCGGACAUGCUUUGUUGAGAUUAAUGAAGUCGAUACAGAUUCGCCACUUCCUAUUCACCUUUUUCAUCAGGACCACAUUCGCGAUCCAGCUUGGAUAGGUCACUUUCCGAAUGAAGCCUUCAUCGAGUAAUUUAUCCACCUCUUCGGUUAUCGCCUUCUGUCGUUCGGAAGUGAAGCUUAUUUUUUUGCUUGAUGGGUCAGUGAUUCGGUUUGAUGCUUAAACGAUGCGUCAUCACCUACGGAUCAAUGCCUGGCAUAUCAAUUAGGGUCCAGGCGAAUGCAUUUGCCUUUUUCUAUAAAAAGGAGACGGGAUAUUUUUUGGUUACUUGAUUGAGGUUCAACCCAAUCUGGAUAGUGUGCUCCUAAUUGCUAUCAUUAGUGCGGUCGUCUCUAGGUUCUCCACUAGCAUCCCAUAUUCUUCGGUUAGUUCAUCCUAGGUGUCCAGUCCAUCGACUGGAUAAGCUUUAAAAGGUCCCGCAUCAUAAAGUGCGAUUGUGUAGCACUGUCGUGCCAAAGCCUAGUCUCCUCUAACUUCACCAACUCUAAACUCAGUUGGAAACUUUAUCUUCAGGUGAUUGGUGGAUACCACAGCUCAAAGUGCAUCGAGUCCUGGGCAUCAGAGAAUGGCAUUAUAGGCGAUAGUGCCUGAACUACCAGGAAAUCAACCUGAGCACUGGAUUGUCGGGGGGAUCGUCCAGCCAUUAUAGGGACUGUAAUGACUCCUUCAAUAGGUACUGCAUCUCCAAUAAAUCCCAUAAGAGGGGAGUCCAAUCGUCGUAACCGCUCACAAGGAAUACCCAUGUGGGAGAAAGCAUCAUAGAAUAAUACAUUUGCCGAACUUCCAUUAUCAAUCAAAAUACGGCGUAUAUCAUAAUUUGCAAUGUUUAAUGAUACAACCACCGCAUCAUUAUGCAGGAACUGACUCCUAUAGCAUCUUCCUUAGUGAAUGUGAUGGAUUCUUCAGUUUUUCGCUUUUUGGCUGGUUUGGUUGACUCCACUUGCUUUUGUGUCCUCCAGUUAUUAUGUUUACUAUUCUGACAGGAGGUCAAUCCUCGAAAGGCUCUCCUUGCCGCUGUUCUGGUGGGCGAGACGACCUCUGCUAUUCUUCUGGCUACUCCUACCAACACCUGAUGAACUGAUCCAAUCGACCUUGCUAAAUAAGCUCCUCGAUUUCAUCCCGAAGUUGAAGAUAUUUUGGUGUCGUGACUAUGGUCGUGGUGGUAGAGACAGUACUUGUUGGGAUUUUGGCGAACUGGAUGGGUCCGCAACUUUUCUACUCGAAGGAUCCGAUCCUUGAUCUCCAUCAAUACUUGGGCUCGGACAGCGUUCAGCGGCGUGUGGUUUGUGAAUCUCCUAGGUGGAGACACACAUCGCCUUUCUCUGAAGGAAUUCUUCUGUUAGCAGUUACGUAGGGGAGUUCGAGACUUUCGACGUCUGGGUGGAGAGUGAGAGCACUGCUGAUCCCUCGGCGGAGACUUCAUCUCUUCUUUCUUCUUCUCUCCUACAGCCACAUCUGUUGAAGGCUCAUCUUCAAAUGCUUCAUCGGUCUACGUGUACUUCUCCGCUCAAGCCAACAUGUCGGUGAAGUCGUGAGGAUAGGUCUUCUUCAGAGAGUAUCGAAGACCGUUCCUCAGGAGUCCGCCCUUUAAGGCUGUCAUAGCGAUCGAUUGAUCUAGAUCGCGAACCUCUAGUACAGCCGCAUUGAAGCAACUGAGGUAGGAUUGGAUUGACUCUCCCUGCUUCUGCUUGAUAUUGACUAGAUAGUCUGAUCCUUUUCGCUAUCUCCUAUUGCUAACGAAGUGACCCACGAACAAGUGACUCAUUUGGUCAAAUGAGUGGAUUGUCCGCGGCUUCAGACUUAAAUAUUAGUGUCGUGCCGUGCCCUUCAAAGUAGAAAGGAAAGCUCAGUAGAGGGCAGCAUCGAUAGCCCUCUGAAAGAGCAUCAAGGCCUUAAAAUUUUUCAGAUGAUCCACGAGAUUAGUAAUCCCAUGGUAGCUUUCCAGCUAUAGCAUUUUAAAGUUAUUGGGGAGUGGCUUCUGCAUGAUUUGGGUGCUGAAGUGCGGAUCGAUGUGGAAUCCAUCAUCCUGUAUCGGAGCCUAGUUGCGAGUGCCUUAAUGUGCUCAUUCAUCUCCCGAAGUUUGCGAUCGAUAUCCGCAUCUCGGGCAGAGCAGUCCUUCGAACGUCGUGGAGAUCGCUAGCUAGGGGUCGAGUUCUAUCUGGAACAGGGACUCAGAGAUCGUCGCCUUCUCUGCUCUGGGCUUUGAGGCUGGCUAUGGUGUCUGUUUCCUCCGCUUAGGGCUCUACGGAGGGAUCUGCAGUCGCUCCUACAGUGGCAGCGCGGGUUGCUAUACAGGAUUGGUUGGUUGCGGUUCCGCCACCAGUGCAGUGUUGGUCAGCUACGCUGCUGCUGCCGCCGGUGCAGUUUAAUCUGCUGCACUGGCACCACCACUGUUGGUGCAGCAUGGAGUUGCUGCAUCGCCUGAACGACGGGGGUCAAGGUCUGCACCUGCUAAAAUAGUAGGUUAAACUGCUUUGCGCUGAUGGCCACCAUCGAUGGCGGAGGCAAUGGAGGAACCUCCUGAAGUUGCACCUAGGCCUAGGGGUUGGUUGUGUUCUCCACCAUCCGAGAGGUAGUGGCGUUGGAUCACCGAAAAGAUGUUCUGCGUAGGGCUAUGAUCUCAAUCUCUUGCUCAAAAUUGGAUCAAUGUCUUUCCUCUAGCAUCAAUCUGUUGCCGCUGAAAUCCAAAUCUUGAUCGGAGUAGCUAGAGCAGUGGUUGCCAUUGAAAUCUAGAUCUUGAUCGGAGUAGCUGGAGUGGUGGUGCACCCAUCUGAAAACUAACCUACAAAGCAAGUUCUUGCCGAAGUUGGCUUCAACGGAGAUCUUCCAACGCUCAAGUCAGAUCUCAAAGAAAUAGAAGAGGAGCAUUUGAGAGAGAUUGUGUCGCACGUACGUUGUCCCUUGGAGGCCAUUUUGUAGGCGAGGGUUGAAAGGCCAUUUUGGACAGGUUAUUUAGCCGAUUUGGACACGAUAUGGCAAAACUUUCAAUCGAAAUCUUCAGGAUUGGGCAAUUACACCUGACUUAUCUAUUUCGGAGCCAACUAUGGUGCCGUAGGGAUUUUUGAAUUUGAAAUGAGGGCAUAGGUAGGAUCGGGUUGGCUUCGAUUGAGGAGGCUUGGGAGCGGUCCGAUGCAUGUAGGCAUCGAAUGAAGUAGUUGGGAUCAGCUGUAUUUGUUGAGAUAAGAUUCAGUGGAGUCUGAAAGUAUAUUUGCUGCUGAAGUUUGAGAUCGACCUGUUCAAAUGUUAGCCUACUGUGGGGAUUGGGAUCGGUUGGCGGAGACUUGGUUACAAGCCGAAGUUAGGAUCAGUUGGAAUCUGAUGUUCCACUUAGGAAGAUCGCUUGACAUAAGGAUCACUGGGACCCGAAGCUAGGAUCAGGGAGGUCCGAAGUUAUGUAUUGAAUGACCUCCUUCACAGUCCAAUGGUUCGGAGAGGCAUAUCUACUUCCGAGAUCGGACACAUUCAUCUCCAAUAGUGCUGUGGCAUCGGCCCUAUAUGCUUCAUCAUGUGCCUUUCCACUGAUUCAUGUCUUCGGCCUGGGUAAUAAAUUAACCCCCAACAGGUCCCAUUAGCCUUUUGUUUGAUGGUGAAAACCCACUUACAACCAACUGCCUUUUUCCUGAUGGGAGAGUGGUAAGCUCCCAAGUUUCAUUUUUUUGCCAAUGCUUUCAUCUCCUCCAUCAUAGCUUCCUCCCAAUUAGGAUCAGCAAGUGCUUCCUUCCAAUUAGGAUCAGCAAGUCCUUCCUUCGAAUCUUGGGGAGUAGACACAGAAGACAAAGACGGUACAAAAGUUCUAUAGGAAGGAGACAAUGAGUUAUAUGAAAUAAAAUUGGAUAUGAGAUGUUGAGUACAACUUCGAACUCCUUUCCUAAUAGCAAUAGGCAGAUCAAUAUCAUUAAUGAUUGGUUCAUGGCAAUUUGGAGAUGAGACAGGUGACUUACUAGGAGUAGGAGGAGAUUGUGGUAGAACUAAAUAUGAGGAUGGCACUUCACUAGGUGGGGUUUGUACAGUGGCUUUAUCUACCUAUUUUCUGGGAGUAUAUGUUUGUAGGUCCUUUUUAUUUUGAUUUAAGUACCUGCAACUAUUAUUUUUUUCUCCAUUCACAUUCUCUUUUUCCUUCUCUCCCUCAUUUAUAACUUUCUCCGUCUUCCCCUCACUUCUAUAUGGUAAAGUAGGUGAAGAAACCUACAUUGAUGAGGAUGAAGGAGACUCUUCCAGUGUGACAUUCUCCCCCUGAAGAGACGACCUAGCAAAGUAGGCUUCAGUUUCUUAAAAAAUGACAUCCAUACUAACAAACAUUUUCUGAUGGGGGGUGAUAGCACUUGUAACCAAGGUUUGCCAUACCGUGCCGAACUGACCGGUAGACCCCAUCUCGUACCAGACUGGCGGGGAACCGGCACGUUUCGGCCGGCAAAAUUGGUACACCGGUGGUACCGAAGAAAAAAGAAUGGAAAGUGAGAAAGAGAGAGAGAGGGGAGGGGAGGAAGGUGGGAGCCAUCGGAGGCCGGCUGCGGCCGUCGGAGGGCUUUCGAGUCCCGUAUCGCCCGAUAGGGCUUUCAAGAGAGCAAAAAAAGAGAGAGAGCGCUCGGAGGGGGGCAAAGAACCUAUCGGACGGACGGUGCCUGCGUUGCGAGGCUCCCGGUGGCCGACGAGCCGACGUCGACGGCCUUAGGCCGUCGAGCGGGCGGAGCCCCGGGGCUCNNNNNNNNNNNNNNNNNNNNCCUCCGACGGCCACGGCGGCCAGUCGGAGGCCAUCCGACGGCCCCGCCAGCUCCUUCCCCUCCCUCUUUUUUUUUUCUUCCUCUUUCUCUCUCUCUAUUUCUCUUUAUUUCUCUCUUUUUUCUUUCGGUUCGGAUCAUCGAUUUGGUACAGUAUGAAACCAUACCGAACCGUACCGUCGGUCGAUCGAAACGGCCGACGGUACCGGUUCAGUAUACCUUGCUUGUAACCUUUUUGAGUUGCUGAGUAUCCAAUGAAUUUACACUUUAGGGCACAUGGGUCAAGUUUGCUUAUGGUUCUCCAAUGAUUAUGAACAAAGCCAACACAACCAAAGAUUUUUAGGAAGAACAAUAAAAGAACAAGUAUGUUAAAGGAGCUCACAAGGAGUUCUAAACUUGAGUGAUUGUAAUGGCAUCCGAUUAAUAAGAUAAGUUGCAGUAAGAACUGCAUCUCGCCAAUAGGUUUUAGGAACAUUUAUAGUAAACAUGAGUGACUUGGCGACGUUACAUUCUACAACAUUCUAAGCUGGUGUAUCUACAUGACUUGUUUGAUCUAUGACGCUAUGGUUACCAAGAUAAUUUUGAAAAGAACUAUCAGUAUAUUCUAUGCCAUUAUCACUCCUCAAAAUCUUAAUUUUUGCAUUAAACUACGUACAUACCAUUUUAUGAAAUAACUUGAAACAAAAAAAACCUCAUCUUUGCUGUGCAACAAAUAGACCCUAGUAGUACAAUUAUAGCAAUCAAUAAACAUAAUAAACCAUCAGAAAUCAGAUAAUGACACAACUCGACUAGGACCCAAACAUCUGAAUGAACCAUCAUAAAUGGUGCAGCACUUUUAUUAUUACUAGAAGAAUAAGAAGUUUGAUUGUGCUUGGUAAAUUCACAAGCAUCACAAAGUAAAGUUUUCUUAGUGCACUGCUGAAAUAAAAUAGGAAAUAACUUCUUUAUAGCUUUAAAGGAUGGAUGACCUAACUAUUGGUGCCACUGAAGUAACUGUUGUUGAGUAGGCAUUAAGGACUUGAGGUGGAAAAUCUGGCUUGCAGAACUUAUUAUGGUUGAUAAAUUAAAAUCAUCUUCUAAUAGAUUAAGUCAUCUUGAACCCUACUGUUAGAAAAGAAAUAUAGUAUGUAGUUAUAUUUUUAGUAUGGUUAUAUGGUUAUAACCAUAUAUUAAGGUCUCACCAUAAUUUGUAUGUGUCCAAGUACAUUGUAUUUAGUAUGUGUCCAAGUACAUUGUAUCUAGUUGCCUAUAAAGGCCCUUCAAGAGGCUAAAAGAAAGUAAUAAUAAUUCCUUUCUCUUCUCUCUAUUGACAUGAUAUCAGAGCCUAACCCUAUUCCUAAUCAAAGCCACUGCCACCUCCAUAGCCUUCCAUCUCGCCAUCUCCCAUCUCUCACACGCCAUCAAGUUCUUUCUAGUCAUCGAGAAAGGAGCAAAUCACCGUAGGAGCACCGGGCUGCGAUCAUCCGUGCAAGGAAGGGGGUGAGGCCGCCUCAUCACCGAUCAGCCUCUCACCGAUCGGCCCCAUGUUUUCACCCUCGUCCACAUUGUCCUCAUCUGAUGCACCCACGCCUUCAACAUCAUCCUUGACAAUGUUGCCAUUCUCCCUAGAUGUCGCCGCCUACACCGUCUAAAUCUGCUGCAGCCACCUCUUUUUGCCACUGCCAUCAUCAUUCCCUUCUGCUAUUGCCGUUGCUGUCUUUCUCUCUAGUUUCUGUUUGGUGAUGAUUAUCAUGCAUCCAGGAUCGAUGUUCCAUCACUUCUCUAUCAUCGUCAGAUCUCAUGGACUCCGCAUCAGCCUUUCUUUUCAAGAUUCAUUGAUGCUGUGGGCUGUUUUCUCUUUUGUAAUAGUCAUCGGAGAUCCCUUUUGAGCAUUGCAUUCUUCUACAUCCUCUCCCUUUUGGCAGAUCCUCUAGAUUUUCUUUAUGGCUUCUUCCUUGAAUGACCUGAGAACCACCCUUUUUGGUACCAAUGUCAAAUUUAAUGGUGCCAAUUACCUUCUUUGGUCUCAAGCAUUUCGCUACAUGAUGGGAUCCCACAGGAAGCUCUAUCAUCUUGACAAAGAUCUGUUGAUAGUGCUGAUUUAGUAGAAUUCUGCAAAUGGCAAGAGGCUGAUUAUGCUGUUCUCACCUGGAUGUUACACAACCCAGAGCCUCAUAUUCCUAAUACUAUGAUGUUUCUAUCCACCGCGAAAGAGAUGUGGGAUUUCUUGAGGAUAACAUACUUUCAAGAGAAGAAUGUCUCGAGGAUUUACUCUCUCUACUCAGAUAUCUUCUCUUUGCAGCAGGGGGAUCUCUCAAUCUAGAAGUACUACAGCAUUCUUUAGGAAAAGAGAACUGAGCUUGCCCAAUAUUAUUUCCUCACUGCUGAUGUUUCUAUUCUUCAACAACAGCAUGAGGAAUUCUAUGUAGCGAAGUUUCUUUCCAUGCUUAAUCCCUCUCUCUCGUAUUCGAGCUCAGCUUAUGGCUGAUGAUAGCAUUCCCAUCUUGAGUAAUGCUAUGAGUCGAGUUCUACAUGUUACUAAGUUGCAGCCUACAUCUCCAACUAUGGAGAACAUUGCUUUUAUUGUUGGUACUUGUAGUGGCCGAGGGAGUCGUGGAGGUCAUGGACGUGGACGUAACUCUUUCUCACCAUGUCCACAUUGCAGACGCUCAAAUCAUCCUAUUGAGCAUUGUUGGCAGAAAUUUAGGAAGCCUCCUGCCUCUCGUCUUGCUAGUACUGCAUCCUCUAUAGCUCUAUUUGACGUUGGUGCCUCUCCUACCGCUGAUGACUCGGUUGUGAUUUCACAGGCUGACUACGAGCGAUUUCUCCAAUCCACCAGUGCCUCCACAUCUUCAGCUCCACCAGUUGUCUCCUACUCCUGGGAUGGCUACUGCAGUCAGUCCUGGUAUGUCCUGGUUAUUAGAUUCAAAUGCUUCUUUUCAUGUCAGGUAAUAAAGAUCUUUUUUCUACAUACACUCCAUUGUCUCAUGUGCUAUCCGUCACUAUGACGGAUGGCACUUCAAUUCCUAUUCUUGGAUGUGGUACUAUAAGGAUUUUCCCUACUCUCAUUCUUAUAGAUGGCACUUCAAUUCCUAUUCUUGAAUGUGGUACUAUAAGGAUUUUCCCUACUCUCAUUCUUAUAGAUGUCCUAUAUACUUCUACAUGUCAUUUGAAUUUGUUAUCUAUUGGAUACCUUGUUAAAUCCUUAAACUGCUCGGUUAUGUUUUACCCUUCUAAUUGUCUUUUUCAGGAUCUCAGCAUGAGGAAGAUGAUUGAUGGCAGUGUUAAGGUGGAUGGAGUUUACUUCCUUGCUAGUACUUCACUUAUUGCUUGUGCGAUGUUGCCAUCUUCCAUUUCACCUUAUCAGUGGCACUGUCAUCUUGGUCAUCCAUCUAUAGAAGUUCUGAAGAAUCUUGGUCUUCUCCUUAGGUCUUCGGGUAGUCUUGAAUGUGAAGCUUGCCAGUUAGGAAAGCAUCACAGAGUGUCCUUUCCUUCUUCUAUUAGUAAGCGUUGUUCUCCCUUUAUGUUAAUCCAUUCGGAUAUCUAGGGUCUAAGUCCUGUUUUGACUCGAUUAGGUUUUGGAUAUUAUGUGAUUUUUGUCGAUGAUCAUACUAGGAUGAUCUGGUUGUAUCUCCUCAAGUGUCGGUCUGAAGUCUUUUCUAUAUUUCAAAACUUUUAUCAUGAAAUAAAAACUCAGUUUUCUACAUCUAUUAAAGUUUUUAGCACAGAUAAUGCCUUUGAAUAUAUGCUGUCCAGUUUUUUAGAUUUUUGUGCUUCUCAUGGUAUAAUAUAUCAGACCUCGUGUCCUUACACCUCUCAGCAGAAUGGAGUUGCUGAAAAAAAUGUAGACAUCUUUUAGAUGUGGCAUGGACUUUUAUGUUUCAUAUGCAGGUACCUAAACCUUACUGGGGUGAUGUUGUGCUUACAGCAUGUUAUCUUAUAAAUAAGACUUCAUCAAGUAUAUUGGAUGGAAAAUCUCCAUUUUCUAUUCUCUAUUCCUCUGCGGAUCCCUUGUCACUCACCCCAUGAGUGUUUGGAUGCCUAUAUUUCGUUUAUCUCUUUGGAUCUGACAAAGACAAGUUGUCUCCUCGAUCUAUUUGUUGUAUCUUUCUAGGAUAUUCUCAUAUUCAAAAAGGAUAUUGUUGUGAUCCUCUUUCUAGACGACACUUUGUCUCUACUGAUAUCUCAUUCUUUGAAACCACUCCAUUCUUUCCCAUCUCUUCUGAGUUGUCUAGUGUUUUUCUACCACCUAUUGCUCCUCCUAGUACUUUCAUAACUCCACGUUCUAGUACUUCUACUUUUCCACAUUUGCAGGUUUACAAUCAUCGCAGAAAAAGAGCUCCGCCAUCUUUACCACCACCGACUAGGUCAUCUCCGUCUGAGAUUCCUACUGACCAUCUCCCAGAUUUAGAUUUGCCCAUUGCAUUAUGAAAGGAUAAACGAUCUUGUACAUUGCAUCCAAUAUCUACCUCCAUGACUUUUGAUUAUCUUCUACCUUCUUUUUGAUCUUUUGUUGGAUCUCUGUCUUCCAUAUCUAUUCCUAGGACCUACCAAGAGGCUUAGUCUGAUCCCAGAUGGAGACAAGCCAUGGAUGAAGAGAUGGCUGGCUGCUCUAGUCAGUCAUGGCACUUGGGAAUUAGUAUCACCAUCGUUCGGUGUUCAUCCUAUUGCAUGUCGAUGGGUCUUUACGGUCAAGUACCAACCUGAUGGCACGGUGGAGCUUUUUAAGGCUCGUCUUGUUGCUAAAAGAUGCACCCAAAUCUAUGGUGUUGACUAUUUUGAGACUUUUUCUCUAGUUGCUUGUCUCAACUCAGUCCGAAUUCUCUUCUCCAUUGCUAUUAAUCAGGGCUGGAAAAUACAUCAGAUAGAUGUAAGUAAUGCAUUUUUAUAUGGAGAUUUGUCUAAGGUUGUUUAUAUGGAGCAACCUCUGGGAUAUGUUGCCCAGGGAGAGAGUUUACAAGCUCAAAAAAGCUAUCUAUGGCUUCAAGCAGAGUCCAAGGGCCUAAUUUGACAAGUUUUGCCAAGUAGUUGGCAAAAUUGGACUUCAUUACAGCAAGUCUGAUCACUCAAUUUUUAUGAAGCAAACAUUUUUUGGGAUUGGUUGUUCUUGCUGUAUAUGUGGAUGAUAUUCUUUUGACAGGUAGUGAUUAUGAUGAGAUUGUUCGGAUCAAAGAACACUUAGAGAACCAUUUUGUCACCAAAAAUUUGGGCCAACCUUGGUAUUUCUUGGGAAUUGAAGUGGUAGAUGGGUCGCAAGGAGUGUUUCUUUCUCAAAGAAAAUAUACCACUGAUUUAUUGAUGGAAACAGGCUUGGUUGUAAACCACGUUCUACUCCUGUUGAUUCUCAAUUACCAUCAGAGAUUGAUGAUUCUGGAGAUGAUUUUGAGGAUGUCACUUGGUACUAUAGACUAGUCGGGAAGCUUAUCUAUUUGACAGUCACAUGACCUGACAUUUCCUUCACAGUGGGAGUAGUUAGUCACUAUAUGCAGAAGCCUAAGGUAUGUCAUUGGGAUGCUGUGUUAAAAAUCUUGCAUUACAUUAAGAGAGCCCCAGAGAAAGGUCUAUUGUAUAAAAGAAAUGGACAUUUUACAAAUUGAACCCUAUUCUGAUGCGGACUAUGCUGGCUUGGUGAGUGAUAGGAGAUCCACAUCAGGUUUUUGCAUCUUUGUUGGAGGAAAUCUUGUCACAUAAAAAAAUAAAAAAUAAGCAGUGGUGGCCCGUUCAAGUGCUGAGGCUGAGUAUAGAGCGAUGGCUCACACAGCUUGUGAGAUGAUGUGGGUCAAUUCUUUGUUAGGAGAACUUGGUGUAUCUUGUUUUUGAGCCUAUGGUGAUGCAUUGUGACAAUCAGUCUGCUAUAUACAUUGCAAACAAUCCUGUCUUUCAUGAAUGGACUAAACAUAUUAAGGUUGAUUGUCACUUCAUUUGGGAUGCUGUUCUGUCGGGGAAGAUUGUUACUCUCUAUACAAUGUCAGAGAAUCAGUUGGCUGAUAUCCUUACCAAGGCUCUUGGGCCUACUUAUUUUUUUUCUUUAUGUACCAAGCUAGGAAUGUUUGAUAUAUAUUCUCCAGCUUGAGGGGGAGUGUUAGAAAAGAAAUAUAGUAUGUAGUUAUAUUUUUAGUAUGGUUAUAACCAUAUAUUAAGAUCUCUCCAUAAUUUGUAUGUGUCUAAGUACAUUGUGUCUAAUAUGUGUCCAAGUACAUUGUAUCUAGUAUGUGUCCAAGUACAUUAUAUCUAGUUGCCUACAAAGGCCCUUUGAGAGGCUAAAAGAAAAUAAUAAUAAUUCCUUUCUCCUCUCUAUUGAUCACCUACCAUAGCCAAUUGUUCUCCCUAUUUUCAGUUCCUGAAAGACAAUAGGUGGGAUAAAAUGAGACAUUACAAUUCAAAUCUUUAGUGAUUGAACUAAUUGGUAGAAGAUUAGUGGGAAAAUUAGGAACAUGAAGAAUAAAGGACAAGGUCAGUGUAGGAGCACAAGGAUUAGAACCUUUUCCUGACACAGAACAAAAAGAAUCAUCUGCCAUAUGAAGUUUUAUCUCUGCCAGAAGAAGGAAAAUAUGAUAAGAACUUAUGUGAAGAACCAGUCAUAUGAUUGGAGGUACCAAAAUCUAUGACCCAAGGGUUAGACUUAUCAGACAUGGAAGCAUUAAACGUGCUAGCUGAUGUGCCUGUGUGAGGAAAAUUAGAAGUACAAGGUAAUAUGUUUGAAUCAAGCUUAGCCAUCAAAAAUCUGAGUGAUUGCAACAACUCCUUAGUGAGAUUGUUAGUGUUUGAGUCAUGGUUCACCGUACCGGGUCGAACCGCCCGGUACGGGGCUUACCGAGCUGGAUCGGUCCCUUAUCGAUCCGGUUCGGGCCUGUUUUUUGGAAAAGGACCCCGAACUGCACCGAACAGCCCGAUUCGGUGUGGUUCGGGCCCAUACCAUCCGGAAUCAGGCGGUACGGCUCGGUUCUGGACUGGUUCGGGGUGAACCGAACUGUACCGCCCAAGGGANNNNNNNNNNNNNNNNNNNNNNNNNNNNNNNNNNNNNNNNNNNNNNNNNNNNNNNNNNNNNNNNNNNNNNNNNNNNNNNNNNNNNNNNNNNNNNNNNNNNNNNNNNNNNNNNNNNNNNNNNNNNNNNNNNNNNNNNNNNNNNNNNNNNNNNNNNNNNNNNNNNNNNNNNNNNNNNNNNNNNNNNNNNNNNNNNNNNNNNNNNNNNNNNNNNNNNNNNNNNNNNNNNNNNNNNNNNNNNNNNNNNNNNNNNNNNNNNNNNNNNNNNNNNNNNNNNNNNNNNNNNNNNNNNNNNNNNNNNNNNNNNNNNNNNNNNNNNNNNNNNNNNNNNNNNNNNNNNNNNNNNNNNNNNNNNNNNNNNNNNNNNNNNNNNNNNNNNNNNNNNNNNNNNNNNNNNNNNNNNNNNNNNNNNNNNNNNNNNNNNNNNNNNNNNNNNNNNNNNNNNNNNNNNNNNNNNNNNNNNNNNNNNNNNNNNNNNNNNNNNNNNNNNNNNNNNNNNNNNNNNNNNNNNNNNNNNNNNNNNNNNNNNNNNNNNNNNNNNNNNNNNNNNNNNNNNNNNNNNNNNNNNNNNNNNNNNNNNNNNNNNNNNNNNNNNNNNNNNNNNNNNNNNNNNNNNNNNNNNNNNNNNNNNNNNNNNNNNNNNNNNNNNNNNNNNNNNNNNNNNNNNNNNNNNNNNNNNNNNNNNNNNNNNNNNNNNNNNNNNNNNNNNNNNNNNNNNNNNNNNNNNNNNNNNNNNNNNNNNNNNNNNNNNNNNNNNNNNNNNNNNNNNNNNNNNNNNNNNNNNNNNNNNNNNNNNAAAUUAAAAAUCAAAAAAAUAUUAUGUACCGGUAUCGGACCGGUACACCUAGGCAUACCGUGUGUUGGUACGGUAUGGUACCGAUAUUGUACCAUACCGGUCCGGGACCGGCAUGCCGUCCGGUACCGGUACAGCGAAUCUUGGUUUGAGUCUUCAUAUAUAUUCUCUUUCACCUCAGAUAUAUGAGCCUGUGGACGAGCAAAUCCAACUCGUUUACCACUACAUCCCCUAGCAAGACGGCCAUGUAGUUUCCAACAAGUCUCUUAGUAUGUCUUGUUCGUCUACAAUAAUCACACUUCAAUAUAUCUUUAUCAGCAGUUGCUUGUUCACUAUAAGUUUACCCCUUAGUUUCCGACUUGAAUUUACUACCAUUGCAGAUCUUUCAUGGGUACUGGUGUUCAACAUAGCUGAUCUUCUACUUUCCUCUUGCUGUACAAGAGCAUAGGUUUGUCUCAAGGAAGGAAAAAAAUCUUUUCCAAGUACCUGGUCAUACUCCACAUUGACCCUAGCCAAGAAAUCAUAAACACACUCCUGAUCAAUCAUUUUCUAGAAUUUGGCAGCAUCAUUAGGGCAAUCAGCUUGGAAAUCUUGAAAAAAAUCCAAUUCUUGCCAUAGGAUGCUAAGUUCAGCAAAAUAUUGAGCCACAGUCAUCUCUCCUUGUCUAGUCUCAUGAACCUUUUUCCCUAGUUCAUAGACUUGAGCAUCAUUGCCCAAUUGUGAGUAAGUUUGGGCAAUGGCAUUCUAGAUUUUCCAUACAAAAUCUAAGAGUAAGUACCCAUAAGCGAUGUAAGGUUGCAUAGAAUUGAUGAGCCAAGACAUAACUAAGGAAUUCUUGGAUUUCCAUUGGCCAAAAGAAGAGUCAUCAGCUGCAGGUCUCUUUUUCUUUCCAGAAAGAAAUCCAUACAUACCCUGGGCCUUGAUAAACAACAAACAAGAUCUAGACCAUGCAAGGUAAUUAUUCCCAUCUAACUUCAUAGGACUGAUUUGGAGAGAGGGGUUAUCACCAAGGGCUACAGCCCUGCUCCCACUUCCCUCACCGAGCAGUUGGAAUAACCAUCCGUACUAACUUCCGACAUGUCCCAAACACCACGGGAACAAUCAAGAAGAAAAAAAAUACUCACAAGGCCAAUCUUGACGAGUUCAGAUCAGAACCACACUCUGAUACCAAGUUAAAAAUGAGAAGAGAUAAUAGAGAGAGAGUAAGGGAGAGCAAAGAAUAUAAUCUGAGAAAGAGUGAUAGGUCUCGAAUCUUAAUUUUUUUCUGACCUAUACCUCUAUUUAUAUCGAUGUUAUUACAUAAAUGCUUACAUUACAAUUGCUGAUUUUAUUCCCCAAUUACAGCAUUGCAGAUUUUCUUCCUAAACGUAGUUUACCAAAUAUAUUGGUCAACCACUCCCUAAUUAUAGCAUGACAGAUUUUCUUUCUAAACAUAGAUCACCAAAAAUAUAUUGGUCAAGCAUUCUCUAAUUGCAACAUUGCAGAUCUUCUUGCUAAACAUAGCUUACCAAAAAUAUAUUGGUCAAUAGUUUUAAAUUAAAUAAAGUGGCUUCUAGUACAAUGAUCCUAAAACACCAGCAUCAAUUACCAAGAUUGCAUGGAGAAAGAAUAAUGUUCUACAACUCAAUUCAUGUUUUCGCAACUAGUUCUUAAGGCAAGAAGACAUCCUCGAUUUUUGGAUGAUCCCUUGACAAAACAUUUAAGCUUUCUAUGACAAUGCCAAUGUAAAUCUCCUAUAUCUUCGUAUAGAGAUUUGGUUAGUGUACUAGCUCCCAGCUCAAAAAUAAUUUGGUGAUUGGCUUUCUAUCUGAAGGAGAGACUAGUUAUUUAUUAAUGGAAUUAAAUGAGCUAAUUUCACACCAUAGUUCUUUAGAUCUGUUGAGAGGGUACAAUUAUCUGAUGUUUUUGUACUAUGCAACUUGAGGAAGCAAACAAGAUGAUGCACAAUGCAGUUAUCCAUUAUAGGAGCAUUAAUCACUCCAUGUAAAACACAUCUAUAGCAAGGUGUAACCCUUGGAACACAUGCACAUAAUAUUCAUCUCAAUGAUUGCAGAACUGUCUUGAACUACCUAAUUUGGGGCAUGUUGAAUCAUACCAGCAACACAACGGGAUGGUUCUGGUGUUCAAAAUGAGAUGCCAAUAAGAAGAGGGAAGGGAGAAGGAAAGAGGGGAAAAUAGAGAGAAAGGGGGGAGGGAAGGAGAGGGAGAGCCUCCGAAGGCCAUCGGAGGCCAGCCAAGGCUGCCGGAGGGAAGGAGAGGGAGAGGGAGUGGGAGAGAGGCUGCCGUAGGGUUGCUAUGCCUGAUGGAUGGCCAGAGGAGGCCCGAUCAAAACAGGGGCAUUCUUUUUUUUGGGGGGUGAGGGGGGGUAAUCGGGUGAAGUCUACAAUAUCAAAACAAUGGGGAAUUAAAUGAAGUUAGCAAUAGCAUUGCCGACUUCAUCCGAUAUCCCCUAAAAAAUAAUGAAAUAGGGGCUUCCGUCGUAGUUUCGAUCAAGCCUCCUCCCACCAUACAUGGGGCAUAGUGGUCCUUUGAUGGACUUGACAGGCCUUCAUAGGCUCUCUCACUCUCCCUUUACUUCCUUUCUCUUCUCUCUUUUCCUCUCUUUCCUUCUUCCUUCCCCCUCCUCACCAGCCCUCCAGGCAACAGCGGCCCUCCAGCAGCCUCCAAAGGCUCUCUCCCUCCCUUUCUCUCUCCUUUCCUCCCCCCUCUCUCUUCUCUUCUCCCAUUCUUCCUUUGCCCUACUAUGUCAGUUCAAGUAUGGCAUGGAAUGAAUGGGGGCAUACUGAACCAUACCGCUGGUCGACCAGUCUAGCCAGUAUUGGCACAGCAAACCUUGAAUCAUGUAAACAUUAUAUGUGAUCAAUUAGUCUAUGAGUGAAUAGAAUAGACUCAUUUCCAAUCUUGAAUUAGUUUGAAAUGCUUUGGAUCAAGAUAUGCUGAACCAGUACCGCCGGCCGUUUCGGCCAGCCGGCGGUACGGUUCGAUAUGGUUUCAUAUCGUACCGAACCGACGAUCCGAACCGAAAGAAAAAAGAGAGAAAUAGAGAGAGAGAAAGAGGAAGAAAAAAAAGGAGGGGAAGGAGCCGGCGG
rnacentral:lncRNA from 1 species